rnacentral:tRNA from 1 species
UUGGGUGUAGCACAACAGGCAGUGCAACGGUCUCCAAAACCGUAAGAUGCAGGUUCGAACCCUGCCACCCGAGC